UACGUAGGGUGCAAGCGUUGUCCGGAAUUAUUGGGCGUAAAGAGCUCGUAGGCGGUUUGUUGCGUCGGCUGUGAAAUCCCGAGGCUCAACCUCGGGUCUGCAGUCGAUACGAGCAAAACUAGAGUGUUGCAGGGGAGACUGGAAUUCCUGGUGUAGCGGUGAAAUGCGCAGAUAUCAGGAGGAACACCGGUGGCGAAGGCGGGGUCUCUGGGCAACAACUGAC
rnacentral:rRNA from 1 species